rnacentral:rRNA from 1 species
CAGUCGCCGCGGGAAUACGGAGGGGGCUAGCGUUGUUCGGAAUUACUGGGCGUAAAGCGCACGUAGGCGGCUUGGUAAGUUAGAGGUGAAAGCCCGGAGCUCAACUCCGGAAUUGCCUUUAAGACUGCCGAGCUAGUAGGUGAGAGAGGUAAGUGGAAUUCCGAGUGUAGAGGUGAAAUUCGUAGAUAUUCGGAAGAACACCAGUGGCGAAGGCGGCUUACUGGCUCAUUCUAGACGCUGGGGUGCGAAAGCGUGGGGAGCAAACAGGAUUAGAUACCCCCGUAGUCCCUGUCUCUUAUAC